rnacentral:rRNA from 1 species
GAUGAACGCUGGCGGCGUGCCUAAUACAUGCAAGUCGAACGGAGAGAUUGUAGCAAUACUUUCUCUUAGUGGCGAACGGGUGAGUAACGCGUUGGUGACCUGCCCCGAAGAGGGGGAUAACAGUCCGAAAGGAUUGCUAAUACCCCAUACGGCCAUCGAGAUUAGAUGCUCGAUGUCCAAAGGAGAAAUUCGCUUCGGGAGGGGCCUGCGUCCCAUCAGCUAGUUGGUAAGGUAACGGCUUACCAAGGCGACGACGGGUAGGGGACCUGAGAGGGUGGCCCCCCACAAUGGAACUGAAACACGGUCCAUACACCUACGGGUGGCAG